rnacentral:rRNA from 1 species
AUUAGAUAAAAAACCAACGCCCUUCGGGGCUUCUUGGUGAUUCAUGAUAACUUCACGGAUCGCAUGGCCUUGCGCCGGCGACGGUUCAUUCAAAUUUCUGCCCUAUCAACUUUCGAUGGUAAGGUAUUGGCUUACCAUGGUUUCAACGGGUAACGGGGAAUUAGGGUUCGAUUCCGGAGAGGGAGCCUGAGAAACGGCUACCACAUCCAAGGAAGGCAGCAGGCGCGCAAAUUACCCAAUCCCGACACGGGGAGGUAGUGACAAUAAAUACUGAUACAGGGCUCUUUUGGGUCUUGUAAUUGGAAUGAGUACAAUUUAAACCUCUUAACGAGGAACAAUUGGAGGGCAAGUCUGGUGCCAGCAGCCGCGGUAAUUCCAGCUCCAAUAGCGUAUAUUAAAGUUGUUGCAGUUAAAAAGCUCGUAGUUGAAACUUGGGCCUGGCUGGCAGGUCCGCCUCACCGCGUGUACUUGUCCGGCCGGGCCUUUCCUUCUGGAGAACCUCAUGCCCUUCACUGGG